rnacentral:lncRNA from 1 species
AAAGUGUUGGCCCAUUUAGUCAGUCCAAAAACCUAUACAGCAACCCAUCGUUCCAAUAACCUUUUCACUCUAAGAUUUUCAAUUUAGCUCAGGCCAUUCCCAAAUAUCCUUGACCCGGAACACUCCAAAGCACAGAAACCCAACUGUUCCUUACUCUUCUUCACAUUAACAAAAUCUCCCAUAACGACAACAACGACCAACGACGAUCUAUCAAAAUACACGGAAAGCAGCAAAAGACAUAAGUCAGUCCUUUGUCGUCUUUGGCCUGUCCAUUCGCAGUAGCAAAAAGCAGAUAAAGAAGUUGUGAUUCCGUCCUUGUGUCUUUGAGAUGGAUCCACGUCUCUCCCCAUGGACAGUGAAUCCAUCCGAUCCAUCAAUUCGCCCUUUCCUCUUCCGGAAUGAGUCCGGGUUUUGGAUCCAAAUUUGCCCCACCUUUCAAAAGAAAUUGUGACAUAAUUCUUCCUCCAUAUGUAUAUCCUUUUCUCAUUUCUUUGUAAGGGACGACAGAUUAUGGUGGGAGAAAAAAUUAGUAAGAGAUAAAUUAUUAGUUCAUUUCGUUCUUAGAUCGAUAUCUCUGUCCAAACUUCCGAUUUGCUGUCUGUCUUUGAUACUUGGCAUGGUGGAGGCGUCGUCUUCUGUUCAUCAUACUGUUCGCUGCUCCAAAGAAGUGAGUGUACCUAUGACUUCAGAUUUCUCUCAGCUCUAGCCAGCCUCCCGCAUAUCAAGUUCCAGGGUGAGCUAUUCAUUCAAGCUCGUGUUGGAUUCUUUCGGUCAUGACAUGAUGUCCUAUACUUUCGGACACAUACCAUUUUAUUCUUUUAUUUUGGUGUAUUUGAUAUUCUUAGACUUAGUAUUGGAGAUUGAUGUCCUUGAUGUGAUGACUUUCAGGUUUUAGGAAAUGAUAUUUAGUAACAUUUGAGUUUUCGCGUUAUGCUUGUAUUUUGUAAAUUAGGUUAAAUUGAUUUGUUCGCCCACUUAGGAGGUUAAAUGUGGGUGCCAGACCCAAAACGCGUCGUAACUAUAUAUAUAUAUACAUAUAUAUAUAUGUAUAUAUAUAUAUAUGUAUAUAUAUGUGUAUAUACAUAUAUAUGUAUAUAUAUGUGUAUAUACAUAUAUAUGUAUAUAUAUGUGUGUGUGUGUGUAUAUAUAUAUAUAUAUAUAUGAAAGUGC